CCUACGGGAGGCAGCAGUGGGGAAUAUUGCACAAUGGGCGAAAGCCUGAUGCAGCAACGCCGCGUGAAGGAAGACGGUUUUCGGAUUGUAAACUUCUGUUCUUAGUGAAGAAUAAUGACGGUAACUAAGGAGCAAGCCACGGCUAACUACGUGCCAGCAGCCGCGGUAAUACGUAGGUGGCAAGCGUUGUCCGGAAUUACUGGGUGUAAAGGGAGCGUAGACGGUAAUGCAAGUCUGGAGUGAAAGGCGGGGGUCCAACCCCCGGACUGCUCUGGAAACUGUGUAACUGGAGUGCAGGAGAGGCAGGCGGAAUUCCUAGUGUAGCGGUGAAAUGCGUAGAUAUUAGGAGGAACACCAGUGGCGAAGGCGGCCUCCUGGACUGUAACUGACGUUGAGGCUCGAAAGCGUGGGGAGCAAACAGGAUUAGAUACCCCAGUAGUC
rnacentral:rRNA from 1 species